rnacentral:rRNA from 1 species
GAUGAACGCUGGCGGCGUGCCUAAUACAUGCAAGUCGAGCGAACAGAUGAGGAGCUUGCUCCUCUGACGUUAGCGGCGGACGGGUGAGUAACACGUGGAUAACCUACCUAUAAGACUGGGAUAACUUCGGGAAACCGGAGCUAAUACCGGAUAAUAUAUUGAACCGCAUGGUUCAAUAGUGAAAGACGGUUUUGCUGUCACUUAUAGAUGGAUCCGCGCCGCAUUAGCUAGUUGGUAAGGUAACGGCUUACCAAGGCAACGAUGCGUAGCCGACCUGAGAGGGUGAUCGGCCACACUGGAACUGAGACACGGUCCAGACUCCUACGGGAGGCAGUAGUAGGGAAUCUUCCGCAAAGGGCGAAAGCCUGACGGAGCAACGCCGCGUGAGUGAUGAAGGUCUUCGGAUCGUAAAACUCUGUUAUUAGGGAAGAACAAAUGUGUAAGUAACUAUGCACGUCUUGACGGUACCUAAUCAGAAAGCCACGGCUAACUACGUG